AGGAAGCAGAGAAGCUGCUGCAGACACUUACUUGCCUUUUGCAGUACCGGUUUACACUUUGCACAUGGAUGUGUAUUCCUUGUCACCACACCAAGAAUAAAGGAAAGAGAGAAGCUGCUGCAGACACUUUCCUGCCUUUUGCAGUGCCAGUUUACACUUUGCACAUGGAUGUGUUUUCCUUGUCACCAGACCAAGAAUAAAGGAAGCAGAGAAGCUGCUGCAGACACUCUCUUGCCUUUUGCAGUACCGGUUUACGCUUUGCACAUGGAUGUGUAUUCCUUGUCACCAGACCAAGAAUAAAGGAAAGAGAGAAGCUGCUGCAGACACUUUCCUGCCUUUUGCAGUGCCAGUUUACACUUUGCACAUGGAUGUGUUUUCCUUGUCACCAGACCAAGAA